rnacentral:rRNA from 1 species
ACGUAGGGAGCGAGCGUUGUCCGGAAUUACUGGGCGUAAAGGGUGCGUAGGCGGCUUGGCAAGUCAGAUGUGAAAUCCCCGGGCUUAACUCGGGAGUUGCAUUUGAAACUGCUAGGCUUGAGUGCAGGAGAGGAAAGCGGAAUUCCUAGUGUAGGGGUGAAAUGCGUAGAUCUUAGGAGGACCACCGGUGGCGAAGGCGGCUUACUGGACUAGACCUGACGCUGAGGUACGAAAGCGUGGGGAGCAAACAG